rnacentral:rRNA from 1 species
UACGGAGGGGGCUAGCGUUGUUCGGAAUUACUGGGCGUAAAGCGCGCGUAGGCGGACCUGCAAGUCGGGGGUGAAAGCCCGAGGCUCAACCUCGGAACUGCCUUCGAUACUGCGGGUCUCGAGUCCGGGAGAGGUGAGUGGAAUUCCUAGUGUAGAGGUGAAAUUCGUAGAUAUUAGGAAGAACACCAGUGGCGAAGGCGGCUCAGCUGGCCCGGUACUGACGCUGAGGCGCGAAAGGCGUGGGGAGCAAACGGG